rnacentral:lncRNA from 1 species
GUAGGAUAUCCCUGAGGGCCCACCUGGCUCCAUCUUGUCUCCAGUGGGUCUUGGUAACCAUGCUGGGCUCCUGGAGGGCUACUUCCAGGUCCCAAGUCAAAAGAGACUGCUCGAUACAUGGUCCCAUGCACAGGGCCAUCUAUUUUCAGGACAGCCUUGUAACUGUUUCAGGAGUGCCCAUCUGAUGGAUCCACCUCUUGCAAAGGGCACAGUCCCUGUCUACACCCCAUCCCUGGGGUAUGUCAGGCCAACACAGCUUCUGUCACAGCUUCACACUAACACACAGAUAAAUCCCAACAGAUGCUGACCCAGGACUCAUUUAAGGAGGCCCCAAUCCCAUAGUCCUGCUCCCAAAUGCAGAUAAAUUCGUCAAACUGCCAACUCUGCUCAGCUGAACCUAGAACUGAGGUUGGUGGGUCGACAAUGCAACACGGGACAGCACAGCUCCCAGCACAGCUCCCCAGCAAGCAGCAGCCCACAGCGCAUGCCGCCACCAGGCAGCAGAGCAGGGGAGCAAGUCAGAGCAAGAGAAGACAGACCCACGGGUGGGGUCAUGUCUGG